CUAAUACAUGCAAGUAGAACGCUGAAGAGAGGAGCUUGCUCUUCUUGGAUGAGUUGCGAACGGGUGAGUAACGCGUAGGUAACCUGCCUUGUAGCGGGGGAUAACUAUUGGAAACGAUAGCUAAUACCGCAUAACAAUGGAUGACCCAUGUCAUUUAUUUGAAAGGGGCAAAUGCUCCACUACAAGAUGGACCUGCGUUGUAUUAGCUAGUAGGUGAGGUAACGGCUCACCUAGGCGACGAUACAUAGCCGACCUGAGAGGGUGAUCGGCCACACUGGGACUGAGACACGGCCCAGACUCCUACGGGAGGCAGCAGUAGGGAAUCUUCGGCAAUGGGGGCAACCCUGACCGAGCAACGCCGCGUGAGUGAAGAAGGUUUUCGGAUCGUAAAGCUCUGUUGUAAGUCAAGAACGAGUGUGAGAGUGGAAAGUUCACACUGUGACGGUAGCUUACCAGAAAGGGACGGCUAACUACGUGCCAGCAGCCGCGGUAAUACGUAGGUCCCGAGCGUUGUCCGGAUUUAUUGGGCGUAAAGCGAGCGCAGGCGGUUUGAUAAGUCUGAAGUUAAAGGCUGUGGCUCAACCAUAGUUCGCUUUGGAAACUGUCAAACUUGAGUGCAGAAGGGGAGAGUGGAAUUCCAUGUGUAGCGGUGAAAUGCGUAGAUAUAUGGAGGAACACCGGUGGCGAAAGCGGCUCUCUGGUCUGUAACUGACGCUGAGGCUCGAAAGCGUGGGGAGCGAACAGGAUUAGAUACCCUGGUAGUCCGCGCCGUAAACGAUGAGUGCUAGGUGUUGGAUCCUUUCCGGGAUUCAGUGCCGCAGCUAACGCAUUAAGCACUCCGCCUGGGGAGUACGACCGCAAGGUUGAAACUCAAAGGAAUUGACGGGGGCCCGCACAAGCGGUGGAGCAUGUGGUUUAAUUCGAAGCAACGCGAAGAACCUUACCAGGUCUUGACAUCCCGAUGCUAUUUCUAGAGAUAGAAAGUUACUUCGGUACAUCGGUGACAGGUGGUGCAUGGUUGUCGUCAGCUCGUGUCGUGAGAUGUUGGGUUAAGUCCCGCAACGAGCGCAACCCCUAUUGUUAGUUGCCAUCAUUCAGUUGGGCACUCUAGCGAGACUGCCGGUAAUAAACCGGAGGAAGGUGGGGAUGACGUCAAAUCAUCAUGCCCCUUAUGACCUGGGCUACACACGUGCUACAAUGGUUGGUACAACGAGUUGCGAGUCGGUGACGGCAAGCUAAUCUCUUAAAGCCAAUCUCAGUUCGGAUUGUAGGCUGCAACUCGCCUACAUGAAGUCGGAAUCGCUAGUAAUCGCGGAUCAGCACGCCGCGGUGAAUACGUUCCCGGGCCUUGUACACACCGCCCGUCACACCACGAGAGUUUGUAACACCCGAAGUCGGUGAGGUAACCUUUUGGAGCCAGCCGCCUAAGGUGGGAUAGAUGAUUGGGAU
rnacentral:rRNA from 1 species